CCCUUAGAUGUUCUGGGCCGCACGCGCGCUACACUGACGAAUGCAACGAGCUUAUAACCUUGGCCGAAAGGUCUGGGUAAUCUCCAAAUUUCGUCGUGAUGGGGAUAGACUUUUGCAAUUUUUGGUCUUCAACGAGGAAUUCCUAGUAAACGCAAGUCAUCAACUUGCAUUGAUUACGUCCCUGCCCUUUGUACACACCGCCCGUCGCACCUACCGAUUGAAUGGUCCGGUGAAGCCUCCGGAUUGGCGCGCACCUCGGUGCCGCCGAGAAGUUGGCUAAACCUUACCAUUUAGAGGAAGGUGAAGUCGUAACA
rnacentral:rRNA from 1 species